rnacentral:rRNA from 1 species
GACGAACGCUGGCGGCGUGCCUAAUACAUGCAAGUAGAACGCACAGUUUAUACCGUAGCUUGCUACACCAUAGACUGUGAGUUGCGAACGGGUGAGUAACGCGUAGGUAACCUGCCUGGCAGCGGGGGAUAACUAUUGGAAACGAUAGCUAAUACCGCAUAAUAUUAAUUAUUGCAUGAUAAUUAAUUGAAAGGUGCAAUUGCACCACUACCAGAUGGACCUGCGUUGUAUUAGCUAGUAGGUGAGGUAACGGCUCACCUAGGCGACGAUACAUAGCCGACCUGAGAGGGGGAUCGGCCACACUGGGACUGAGACACGGCCCAGACUCCUACGGGAGGCAGCAGUAGGGAAUCUUCGGCAAUGGACGAAAGUCUGACCGAGCAACGCCGCGUGAGUGAAGAAGGUUUUCGGAUCGUAAAGCUCUGUUGUAAGAGAAGAACGGGUGUGAGAGUGGAAAGUUCACACUGUGACGGUAUCUUACCAGAAAGGGACGGCUAACUACGUG